AACAUCAUCAUUUAAAACGUGGAUUAAAAUUGUUGCACCACAAAGAUUAAAUAAUUCAACAGAUAAAAAUGAAUAUUAAAAAAAUUUUUCAAAUUAUCAAGGUAUGGGGAUUCGAUGAAAAACUAUCUUAUAGGGAGCGAAUUUUCAUCCCUGGUAAGUAUAGCAAGCAGAAGCAAAAGGUACUUUCGUCAAUGUUCAAUUCAAUGGAGUGUUACAAAUUGUUGUUGUUCACUUUAGAGG